AUGGAAGAAGAAAUUGAUGAAACUGUAAGCUCAUUGGAUGAAAAAGAUGAUGAGGGGAGCGAAGAACAAGAGCGGAUUAGCUACCCGUGCCCACCUUCUAAUGAGAGUAACUCUUCAACUCAUACAUUGUUUAAUUUCCCUUUGUGCUUACCGGAGGAUGAUUGCUAUGAUGAUUGUUAUGAUCCCGUUGAUUCUUUUGAAAUAUCCCUUUUUGAUGAUGCUUGCUAUGCUUGUGGCCAAGAUGCCAAUAUAAAUUAUGCUUAUGGAGAUGAACUUGAUAUAGUUCCUUAUGUUAAACAUGAAAUUGUUGCUAUUGCACCCACGCAUGAUAGUCCUAUUAUCUUUUUGAAUUCUCCCGACUACACUAUAUCAGAGAAGUUUGCACUUAUUAAGGAUUAUAUUGAUGGGUUACCUUUUACCGUUGCACAUGAUGAUUUUGAUGAAUAUAAUAUGCAUGUGCUUGCUGCUCCUACUUGCAAUUAUUAUGAGAGAGGAACUAUAUCUCCACCUCUCUAUGUUUCCAAUAUGAUAAAAUUGCAAGAAACUGUUUAUACUAUGCAUUGGCCUUUACUUUGUGUGCAUGAAUUGUUCUUUUAUGACAUGCUGAUGCAUAGGAAGAGAGUUAGACUUCGUUGUUGUAUGAUAUAUGUUACUUUGUGCUCACUACUAAAUUACAAAUCAUUAUUAAUUAAAAUUGGCUUUGAUAUACCUUGGGAUGCGGGUGGAUUCAUUACUUGA
rnacentral:rRNA from 1 species